UGCAUUGACUUGACUAUAUAUGCCCGUGUGU
rnacentral:piRNA from 1 species